UAGAACAAAAGAGAACCUAGGGAAAAAGUCAUCUCCCUCUCACUCCCAUCCCUCCUCAUCUGUCCUAGAGGCCACCACCACUGGCUUGUGCCUUCUUCCGGGCAACCUGCGCCUGUUUAAGCAUGCCUGACUGGGUCUUCACCUUGGCUUUACCUUGACUGUGACCUGUUAAGAGCCUGAACGGCAAGGUGAAGAUGACACUCAGCUCUUCACUUCAGCAUUCUUUCCCAUGGGAUAUUUCCAAUUCACUGCAAAAGAAAGUUCAAACUGCUACAAAAGCUCAUUUUUAAUUACCCUGAGAUACAAGUUGUGAGGAGGCAGCCUGACAGCUCUCAUCAAUGAGAUCAGUAAGCUGUGAAGACAUGUGGCCAGAUAUGUCUUGUCAUUAAUAUAUACAGUGUGAUCAGAUGCCAUCAUAAUUGUUAUUAUUACAGGAUCAUAAAGCUUUAGAGUAACAGAAAAAACAAGUACCUUUGUUUGAAAGGUCAGCCUUUCAAAAACAAGAAAACAGACUGAACUCAUCAAUAAAACAGGGGCGCAAAGAGAGAUGAGUAUGUGUAAGGAAUUCUUAUGAAAAUCAAGUAAGCAAAGACUUUUACAACAGUGUUCACAUUUAAAUUAGGAGGUGGAAAAACGGGCUCCUAGUAGAUUACUCUACAUUGAACUAAAUGUUGAAAGAAAUAACCGCAAUGAUUUUCUAAUGUCUGUAAUUAGCACUGACUAGCAAUAUAAAUUGGCUUUCUCAGAUAAAUCUGUGUAUUUGACUAAAUUUUCAGGAUUGAGGUUUUAUAAAUUUAAGCAAUGGGAUACAUAUAUUUCUACAGUAACUAAAGAAAUAAGUUGUCUACAUCAAGAAAUAACGAUGCGUUUUCCUUUUAAAAAGUAUGUGUGCCUGCGUGCGCAUGCGCCUGUGCAUUCGGCACGCUGUGCCCACAGAUCAGCGCAAAGAGGGCUUUCCAGAGGAUCUUUUUCUUAAUGUAGUGUCAGAUCUUAAAAUAAGAUUUAAGGGCUGGGAAGUCUGAUUGAGUGGGACUGAGAUGUGAUUUCUAGUAGUAGCACUCACUAGAACGGGGAGGACAGAAAAUGCUGUUUCUAUGUGUGGGAGGUCGGACAUUUUGGACAGACAUUUUAAUUCAGCCUUUUCUUUUGAAAUCAAGUCUACGCCGUAGCUACCUUGAGAUGUGUAGUUGCUUAUUCUGUUUAAUGGAUUGUUCAUCCUCUCUGUCCUUGAGAUAAUCCUAAGCAUGUGCAUAAAACUGAGAUCCUGUUGCUCAUAAAAACCAAUCAGCCCGCAGUUGGUCCACAAGGUGUUGAGCACUCGCUGGAGCAGAUGGGAAAGAUAAAGUUUAAUAAAGAGUUAGAGGAUUAGGUGGUACAAAACAAGCAAAGAGAAAGGGAUAAUUUGAUUUCAGGUGAACCUCUGUGACAUUUCUUGUACCCAGAGACAGAUUAAAAUGAUUCCAAAGCCAUGACUUUUGGCUCCUCUUCCCCAGGGCCGACCUGGCUGCAUACAUUGUCAGCUUUUGACUCUGCUGGCAUGACCAUCACCGGAAUCUGUGAAUAACGCAGAAGACAGUUUCUCAGGUUUAUGAAGAUGUAUGAAAAGUUAAAUGAAAAACGGAUUGCGGAUUACAGCCUAAGCGGGUUUGAGCCUGAAUUUAAUAUAACAACUUGUGGCAAAUGGAGGGAGCGGGAAGGUAGCGCCGACUAGUCCGAAGUCCUCUGGAGAGAAAUUCAGUGUCCAGAUGUUUCAGAAUCCAGAUGGCCUAUGAAUCCUCUAUCACCCAGAAAGGAGGAAAAUGUGCAUGAAAGCGGAAGAUUGAAAAGAAAAAAAAUAAUUUAGGUGAUGUAAUGGCAGCAUACUGGGCUUAAGGAAAAGCUUCCCCUCCUAAAGCAGCAACUUAAUAAAAUGCAUGUUACAGUCUCUAUCAGCAAGCCAGAUUUUCAGCGUUGCCUCCUUUUUCCAUCACCAUUAAGAGGCUUGCAGAGAUCCACACUGUUUAAAGGGCAGACAGCAUGGAAGAACUAUCAUGUACAAUUUAAAGUAGCAGCUAAAAUUGGAAUGGUCACAAGAAAGCCUGUUUCUUUGCAAUUAAAUUGACAAGCUGUCUAUGAUUACCCUAGGGAACUUGGCAGCUGAGUGAUAAAAAGGCUGCAGAGUGUUGAAAGGUCUAACGCAACUUACUAGGUGGACAAAGACCACAUCUGCUUAAUAUACUGAUUGGGAGAGUUGUGGAAUGUACUUGGCUAAAUUAGCCGAGGAGGGAUACUAAUGAUCCUUUUUCCUCUCUAAGACCCUCUGCUCAGAACCUAUUUUAGAAAUUACCCACAAAUUUUUGGAAGCGUGCAUUAAAAAAUACUUUGGUGGAAUACCUGAUGUUAUUUAGCAUGCACCUACUGCUACAAAUCACCAGAAGAAUUGAGCAGAAAUUUAGAAAGAAAUAAUAA
rnacentral:lncRNA from 1 species